UACGAAGGGGGCUAGCGUUGCUCGGAAUCACUGGGCGUAAAGGGUGCGUAGGCGGGUCUUUAAGUCAGGGGUGAAAUCCUGGAGCUCAACUCCAGAACUGCCUUUGAUACUGAAGAUCUUGAGUUCGGGAGAGGUGAGUGGAACUGCGAGUGUAGAGGUGAAAUUCGUAGAUAUUCGCAAGAACACCAGUGGCGAAGGCGGCUCACUUGCCCGAUACUGACGCUGAGGCACGAAAGCGUGGGGAGCAAACAGG
rnacentral:rRNA from 1 species